rnacentral:rRNA from 1 species
GAUGAACGCUGGCGGCGUGCCUAAUACAUGCAAGUCGAGCGAACAGACGAGGAGCUUGCUCCUCUGACGUUAGCGGCGGACGGGUGAGUAACACGUGGAUAACCUACCUAUAAGACUGGGAUAACUUCGGGAAACCGGAGCUAAUACCGGAUAAUAUAUUGAACCGCAUGGUUCAAUAGUGAAAGACGGUUUUGCUGUCACUUAUAGAUGGAUCCGCGCCGCAUUAGCUAGUUGGUAAGGUAACGGCUUACCAAGGCGACGAUGCGUAGCCGACCUGAGAGGGUGAUCGGUCACACUGGAACUGAGACACGGUCCAGACUCCUACGGGAGGCAGCAGUAGGGAAUCUUCCGCAAUGGGCGAAAGCCUGACGGAGCAACGCCGCGUGAGUGAUGAAGGUCUUCGGAUCGUAAAACUCUGUUAUUAGGGAAGAACGAAUGUGUAAGUAACUAUGCACGUCUUGACGGUACCUAAUCAGAAAGCCACGGCUAACUACGUG